GACGAACGCUGGCGGCGUGCUUAACACAUGCAAGUCGAACGGAAAGGCCCUGCUUUUGUGGGGUGCUCGAGUGGCGAACGGGUGAGUAACACGUGAGUAACCUGCCCUUGACUUUGGGAUAACUUCAGGAAACUGGGGCUAAUACCGGAUAGGUGCUCCUGCUGCAUGGUGGGGGUUGGAAAGUUUCGGCGGUUGGGGAUGGACUCGCGGCUUAUCAGCUUGUUGGUGGGGUAGUGGCUUACCAAGGCCUUGACGGGUAGCCGGCCUGAGAGGGUGACCGGCCACAUUGGGACUGAGCUACGGCCCAGACUCCUACGGGAGGCAGCAGUGGGGAAUAUUGCACAAUGGGCGGAAGCCUGAUGCAGCAACGCCGCGUGCGGGAUGACGGCCUUCGGGUUGUAAACCGAUUUCGCCUGUGACGAAGCGUGAGUGACGGUAAUGGGUAAAGAAGCACCGGCUAACUACGUG
rnacentral:rRNA from 1 species